UACGGGGGGGGCAAGCGUUGUUCGGAAUUACUGGGCGUAAAGGGCGCGUAGGCGGCGCAACAAGUCACUUGUGAAAUCUCCGGGCUUAACCCGGAGCGGUCAAGUGAUACUGUCGGGCUAGAGUGCGGAAGAGGCGAGUGGAAUUCCUGGUGUAGCGGUGAAAUGCGCAGAUAUCAGGAGGAACACCAAUUGCGAAGGCAGCUCGCUGGGACGUGACUGACGCUGGAGAACGCGAAAAGCGUGGGGAGCAAACAGG
rnacentral:rRNA from 1 species